UAUAACUCGGCUGUGGUCUCACUGCCUACACCUAUUUUAAAUUUUCAGGAUGCAUUUUCUUCAGGCAGAGAUGCUAGCUCAGUCCAGGGCGUUUGCAGUGUUGAGUGCUGCGUUUAUUUGGUUUUCCUUCGGGUAAUUUGUGCAAUCUAAUGCUCCCCUUGCUUAAUUUCGCUGUGUAAAUCCACUCCUGCAAAGCACUUUUGCGUAAUUCCCAGGUGGUCUUCUUUGCUGGAGUCUUUCUUUGUACCUAAGUCCCCAUUUUCACCUGCUGGGCACCUCCUCAAGGCCAGCAGACAAAUCUGCCAUCUUCAGCAGCCCGGGAGGCUGAGUCCACCCGGACUCCAGGCCUUACUCCCUAGAUGGGUAGAGUGCUUUCCACCGGGACUCCCCGCCUUCCCCCUGCUGCUUCUACACAAGCAGACCGACUUCCCUGGAGACACAGUCGGGAGGUCUGAGCAGCUGGCCGUGGAAAGUCUUCAGGGAGCCGCCGUUCAGCAGGAAGUUCCUCUCCUCCAGCUGCAGCCCCCGCUCGAGCGCGGCCGUGCAGUCCUCGGAGGGCAGCGUCACGUCCCC
rnacentral:lncRNA from 1 species